rnacentral:rRNA from 1 species
AUUGAACGCUGGCGGCAGGCUUAACACAUGCAAGUCGAGCGGGGGAAGGUAGCUUGCUACCGGACCUAGCGGCGGACGGGUGAGUAAUGCUUAGGAAUCUGCCUAUUAGUGGGGGACAACAUCUCGAAAGGGAUGCUAAUACCGCAUACGUCCUACGGGAGAAAGCAGGGGAUCUUCGGACCUUGCGCUAAUAGAUGAGCCUAAGUCGGAUUAGCUAGUUGGUGGGGUAAAGGCCUACCAAGGCGACGAUCCGUAGCGGGUCUGAGAGGAUGAUCCGCCACACUGGGACUGGGACACGGCCCAGACUCCUACGGGAGGAAGCAGUGGGGAAUAUUGGACAAUGGGGGGAACCCUGAUCCAGCCAUGCCGCGUGUGUGAAGAAGGCCUUAUGGUUGUAAAGCACUUUAAGCGAGGAGGAGGCUACUCUGGUUAAUACCUAGGGAUAGUGGACGUUACUCGCAGAAUAAGCACCGGCUAACUCUGUGCCAGCCGCCGCAGUAA